UAGUUGGUGGAGUAAUAGCCUACCAAGGCAAUGAUCUAUAGCUGAUCUGAGAGGAUGAUCAGCCACACUGGAACUGAGAUACGGUCCAGACUCCUACGGGAGGCAGCAGUGGGGAAUAUUGGACAAUGGGCGAAAGCCUGAUCCAGCCAUGCCGCAUGAGUGAAGAAGGCCUUUGGGUUGUAAAGCUCUUUUAGUGAGGAAGAUAAUGACGGUACUCACAGAAGAAGUCCUGGCUAACUCCGUGCCAGCAGCCGCGGUAAUACGGAGAGGGCUAGCGUUAUUCGGAAUUAUUGGGCGUAAAGGGCGCGUAGGCUGAUUAAUAAGUUAAAAGUGAAAUCCCGAGGCUUAACCUUGGAAUUGCUUUUAAAACUAUUAAUCUAGAGAUUGAAAGAGGAUAGAGGAAUUCCUGAUGUAGAGGUAAAAUUCGUAAAUAUUAGGAGGAACACCAGUGGCGAAGGCGUCUAUCUGGUUCAAAUCUGACGCUGAAGCGCGAAGGCGUGGGGAGCAAACAGGAUUAGAUACCCUGGUAGUCCACGCUGUAAACGAUGAAUGUUAAAUAUGGGAAGUUUCCUUUCU
rnacentral:rRNA from 1 species